AAAGAGUGAUGCUGAAGCGCUGGUCAUUUCUGUCAGCUGGGAAAGGAAGGAAGAUGUUGUUGCUCUAUCUAAUGUCACUUUUUAUUCCAAAACAUUUGACACUUUUUAUCUGCAACAUCAUGAAUCACUUGGUCAUUUGAGAAAAGACACAUAAUUAGACAUUUUCUAUUACAAGUAGUUCAAAUUGUAUAAACACAUAAUUCAUGAGUUUGCAGUAGUGUCUGCCUUUAUGUCAGGGCAAAUUUGAGCAUAUUUCAAUUUUGUCCAACUUGUUACUAAUAAACUUGAUUUGUCCAGAGCUCUCAACUCAAUUCAAACAACUCAUGACACCAUUCCUUCGACACACACACACACACUUUUAUCCAAAGCAACUUGCAGUGCAUUCUAGUUAUAAUUAGUUUUUUGUUUUUUUAACCAGUGUGUGUUUGUUCCCUGGGAAUUGAAGCCACAAACUUUAGCACUGACUGCUCACAUAAUGCUCCACCACUGACAGACGGACCGACACACACAUACAUGCACACACACACACACACACACACAAGGAGGAAGCUUUUGGGAUCAAGUGGAAAGAGGGACACAGUCUAGUCAGUCAUAUGAACUCGGGACUGGUUCAGUCACAAUGAGAAAUCUUAUUCUAAACUGGACAUUUCUCUUUAUUUUACAUCUGACCAAAGAGGACGCUUCAGUGCAAAAGCUGAGUGCCCCAGAAAAGCACUUUCUUGUCCUGAUGUGUUCUGACGCUUCAUAUGUUGACUGGAGCCAUGGGCUGGAAAAGGUGAUCGCUUCUAAACGAGGAAAGCUGGUGUCUUACCUGGACCAAAGCAAACACCAGCUGCUUGAAGACGGCCAGCUCUCCAUUAAAGGCCUGCAGGAAUCAGACGCAGGAGAAUAUUACUGCAACCAUCAGCUAGUGGCAGAUAUCACUGUGCUCAAAGGUCAUAACUUUACAGUUGCUGAGGGCACAACUAUUUAUCUGCCAUGUAAGACAUCUGAUAAAAUGAAGCAGAGAUGGGCAUUCAAACGCACUCCUCACUCCAGAAAAGAGUUCAUCUCCACACUUUAUAAAAACAGCACCAUAAAGAAAGAGAGAGCUGAUCCAACAUUAAGAUUCACCCACACCACAGACCACCUGAUUAUCUCCAGUCUCCGGCUGCAGGACUCUGGGCUUUAUCUGUGCAACAACAGAGAGAUGGCUUUCCUCACGGUGACCACAGUGACUGUGGCCGUCCUGCUGGCCUUGUGCAUACUGGCGAUGGUUUGUGUUGGACUUCUGUCUGUGACGAUCGGCUGGAAAAGCAGAAGAAGGAGAAGAAACUUCAGAAAAGAAACAGAGCUGACAAAUAUUGCAUCUGGUCAACAAUUACAAAGCAUGUCAAAUGAAGGCCCCUGGAUGCUGGACCCUCAGGAGGAUGCAGUGAGUUUCUUUCUCCACCAAUCAACAGCCAAAUAUACUUGUCAAUUUAAAUACGAUGUAAAUAUGGCUAGAGUUAUCUAUAUUAGCUGUGCUAAUGUGUGUGUGUGUGUGUGUCCAGGGGGAAAUCCAGUACGCGUCUCUGGGUGUGCAGCACUGGAGACAGACAGACAGACAGCUGAGCAGCAGACAGCAUGUCAUUUACUCCACACUGACCCCGUCAUGAAAACAACACACUCAUUUACACUGGAUACCUAG
rnacentral:lncRNA from 1 species